UGGUGCUGAGCGUAAUGGCUCAGUGAAAAGGGAAUCAGGUGAGAAUCCUGAACAGACGGCGCUGCUGUAUGUUCCAAUCUUGAGCCCUCACCGCUUCACUGCAUGGCAUCGCCUUGAUGCCCGUGGGAAGGAGCGUUGAACGAGAAUAAGGGCUGGAACGAGUCAGAAGACCUGCCAAAUUGGU
rnacentral:ncRNA from 1 species